rnacentral:lncRNA from 1 species
GCGGACGUGGUAGGCGACGUGGUCGAGGAGGUCGAGGGAGGAGAACAUGAUAUUAUAUUUAUAUAUUAUUGUAUAACUUGUAUUUAUUUUGUAUAUUCUGUUUUGAUUAUUUGGUAUUUAUUAUAUUAUUGAGAUUCUAUUGGUUGUGAUGUUGUAAUGUGUAUUAAUUUUGUGAUGUUGUGAUGUGUAUUACUUUUGUGAUGUUGUUAUGUGUUGUGAUGUGUUGUGAUGUGUAUUGAUAGGUAUAUGUAUUGUAUUCUUGUAUUGAAUCUUGUAAUUGAUUUUUCUGCUUCUGCGACAAUUUUAAAGGUGUGGGCAGUUGUAUUGGACACGGUGAUC